GGUCCCGUAGCUCAGAUGGAUAGAGCAACUGCCUUCUAAGCAGUUGGUCAGAGGUUCGAAUCCUCUCGGGAUCA
rnacentral:tRNA from 1 species